rnacentral:rRNA from 1 species
AAAGCGAGCGGCGGAUGGGUGAGUAACACGUGGGGAACCUGCCCCAUAGUCUGGGAUACCACUUGGAAACAGGUGCUAAUACCGGAUAAGAAAGCAGAUCGCAUGAUCAGCUUUUAAAAGGCGGCGUAAGCUGUCGCUAUGGGAUGGCCCCGCGGUGCAUUAGCUAGUUGGUAAGGUAAAGGCUUACCAAGGCGAUGAUGCAUAGCCGAGUUGAGAGACUGAUUGGCCACAUUGGGACUGAGACACGGCCCAAACUCCUACGGGAGGCAGCAGUAGGGAAUCUUCCACAAUGGACGCAAGUCUGAUGGAGCAACGCCGCGUGAGUGAAGAAGGUUUUCGGAUCGUAAAGCUCUGUUGUUGGUGAAGAAGGAUAGAGGUAGUAACUGGCCUUUAUUUGACGGUAAUCAACCAGAAAGUCACGGCUAACUACGUGCCAGCAGCCGCGGUAAUACGUAGGUGGCAAGCGUUGUCCGGAUUUAUUGGGCGUAAAGCGAGCGCAGGCGGAAGAAUAAGUCUGAUGUGAAAGCCCUCGGCUUAACCGAGGAACUGCAUCGGAAACUGUUUUUCUUGAGUGCAGAAGAGGAGAGUGGAACUCCAUGUGUAGCGGUGGAAUGCGUAGAUAUAUGGAAGAACACCAGUGGCGAAGGCGGCUCUCUGGUCUGCAACUGACGCUGAGGCUCGAAAGCAUGGGUAGCGAACAGGAUUAGAUACCCUGGUAGUCCAUGCCGUAAACGAUGGGUGCUAAGUGUUGGGAGGUUUCCGCCUCUCAGUGCUGCAGCUAACGCAUUAAGCACUCCGCCUGGGGAGUACGACCGCAAUGUUGAAACUCAAAGGAAUUGACGGGGGCCC